rnacentral:lncRNA from 1 species
AUGUGUAUACCUUCUUCCAAGUUUGGAGUCAUUCAUCUAGCUUCUGAUGUUGCUACUGCGUCAUUUUGCUCCAGCCACAAGAGCAGACAUUGCAGAAUGUCUGUUCCUGGUUGGCCUCGUCUGAAACUCUUGAACUUGAGCACGCUCAGUGCUCCUUUCCUUGGGCUCUUCCAUCUUUCCCUCCCGUCCCCUCCUGCCUGCCACUCUCUGGGUCCCCACUGGCCAUCAGAGGAACAAGGGCAUAAAGCCAAGCAAGUCACUGGGGGGAAGAAUUCCAGGGAAAGGGGCACAAGACCUCAGGAAGCCACUCAGGAGGAGGAAUGGUACCCAGGGCAGUGAAAGUUCUCAAGCUGCCCUCUGGGGCUUGACAAGAGGAGAAAAGCAGGGCCAGAAGAAAGGGCUUGAGGGAAAGCUGCUGUGGAGGUUUAAUUGCCAAACCCCUGUUGAGAAUAAAUACUAACAUUGCCCACCCACCACCAUGCCCUUGGCCAGAGGCCCCCAUUCCAACACAGCCACCCAGGAAAGAAUGGUAAGGCCACCACUUAUGGAGAAGAGCCAGAAGGGAGAAGCCGGAGGCCUGCAGCUACGAAACUAUUCACACUGGAGUUCUGAAAGAAACAAUACCAUAAGCUCUAAUUGGGAAUUGUAAUCAGGAAAGGAAUUCCCCAUAUAAAAAUAGGUGUUCUGUGCUAUGAAUCAUGUAACUUUGUGUACAGUAUAAUGGAAGAGAUACUAGGAGUUUUUGCUUCAUCCGUAAGUCAGAUAUGAAUGCCAGUUUUGCCGCUGGGUGUAAACCCUCAUCCCUACCCUAAAGUUUUCUUUCCCAUUCCCUCCAAACCCAAAGAUCAGACUACUGUUAAAUUUCACCAUAUGAUUCGAUUUUGCAAAGACGGGAGGCAAGCGGAGUGAUUUGCAUCAAUGGAAUUGCACUGACAGUGUUUCUUAAUAGGAUUACUAAAGUUUUUAAUAUAAAAUGAUUUUUUAAAAAAUCAGGAGUUGAUAUUAGGUACUAGGACAUUAGUUCAGAUGAAUUC